rnacentral:lncRNA from 1 species
AAAAGAUACAAAACUAUGGGAUCCUUGACACCAUCCGCCAGGGAACUGGCCCGGCAUAGGCUAACUGGGACCCAAAUUGUCCUCCAAAUCAUCCCUAAGAAGGCUGGCCUUGCUCUCUAGAGAGAGAGAUGAGUAUCAUGAAGACUCUCUAUCACCCAAAUAUCAUUCAGUUCCACCAGGUGACUGACAAGGUGGAAACCAUGUAUGUGGUGAUGGAGUACGCCAGAGGAGGAGAGCUACAGCACCAGAUAUGCCACCAAGGCCACAUCGAGGAAGAGGAGGCCUGAACCAUGUUCAGGCAGAUUCUGUCAGCCCUGCACUACUGCCACUUGAAGAACAUCACACAUCCACACACAAAACAUGCUACUCAAUGAGGAACGCAAUAUAAAAAUCAUGGACUUUGGCUUUAGCAUGACAUUCGGGGAGGCAUAGAUGCUGAAAACAUUUUGUGGCGCGCACCCCUACGUGGCCACGGAACUCUUCCUGGGCCAGGAGUGCCAGCGCCACCAUGAUUGUAUGGAGCCUCCGUGCCACACUGUAUUCCAUGGUGGCCGGGGCCCUGCCCUUCUACUCAGGGAACCCUACAGGCCUCAAGAAAAAAUGAUCAGUGCAGAAUACCGUUCACCACAAUUUUUUUCCCCAACGAAUGGAAAGACUUAUUAAAAAGUGACUAAUGCUGGACCCCAAGGAGUGUCCUUCACUGGAACAAGUGAUGAAAAAUCCAUAGGUGAAAAGUGUCCAGAGGUUGCCAGUCACACCACACCAAGAGCCACUCCUGGACCACCCGAACCCCAAACAACCCAACUUGUGGUGGCCAUGGGAUUCCAGGCCAAGAACAUCU